rnacentral:lncRNA from 1 species
GAACCCCGUCAGGAAAAGCGCACAAAACUGCUCUUAAGUCAUUGCAGAGCUACCGCUUCGGUUAGCCAGCCACGAAGUUCUCGCGAGAGUCGUCUCCUCGAUACCAAGCGCCUGUGUCUGGCAGAGCUGGUGUGAGACGAGACAAUCCUGCCCCGCCGCCGGGAUAAUCAAGAGUUUUGGCCGGACCUUUGAGCAUACACCGAGAGAGUGAGGAGCCAGACGACAAGCACACACUAUGGCGCUGAAACGGAUUAAUAAGGAACUUAGUGAUUUGGCCCGUGACCCUCCAGCACAAUGUUCUGCAGGUCCAGUUGGGGAUGAUACAAUAAUAUUUUAAAUUUGAGUUAAGCAUACUUUUCUUUUUACAGAAUGACAGCCCAUAUCAAGGCGGUGUAUUCUUUUUGACAAUUCAUUUUCCUACAGACUACCCCUUCAAACCACCUAAGGUUGCAUUUACAACAAGAAUUUAUCAUCCAAAUAUUAACAGUAAUGGCAGCAUUUGUCUCGAUAUUCUAAGAUCACAGUGGUCGCCUGCUUUAACAAUUUCUAAAGUUCUUUUAUCCAUUUGUUCACUGCUAUGUGAUCCAAACCCAGAUGACCCCCUAGUGCCAGAGAUUGCACGGAUCUAUAAAACAGACAGAGAUAAGUACAACAGAAUAUCUCGGGAAUGGACUCAGAAGUAUGCCAUGUGAUGCUACCUUAAAGUCAGAAUAACCUGCAUUAUAGCUGGAAUAAACUUUAAAUUACUGUUCCUUUUUUGAUUUUCUUAUCCGGCUGCUCCCCUAUCAGACCUCAUCUUUUUUAAUUUUAUUUUUUGUUUACCUCCCUCCAUUCAUUCACAUGCUCAUCUGAGAAGACUUAAGUUCUUCCAGCUUUGGACAAUAACUGCUUUUAGAAACUGUAAAGUAGUUACAAGAGAACAGUUGCCCAAGACUCAGAAUUUUUAAAAAAAAAAAUGGAGCAUGUGUAUUAUGUGGCCAAUGUCUUCACUCUAACUUGGUUAUGAGACUAAAACCAUUCCUCACUGCUCUAACAUGCUGAAGAAAUCAUCUGAGGGGGAGGGAGAUGGAUGCUCAGUUGUCACAUCAAAGGAUACAGCAUUAUUCUAGCAGCAUCCAUUCUUGUUUAAGCCUUCCACUGUUAGAGAUUUGAGGUUACAUGAUAUGCUUUAUGCUCAUAACUGAUGUGGCUGGAGAAUUGGUAUUGAAUUUAUAGCAUCAGCAGAACAGAAAAUGUGAUGUAUUUUAUGCAUGUCAAUAAAGGAAUGACCUGUUCUUGUUCUACAGAGAAUGGAAAUUGGAAGUCAAACACCCUUUGUAUUCCAAAAUAGGGUCUCAAACAUUUUGUAAUUUUCAUUUAAAUUGUUAGGAGGCUUGGAGCUAUUAGUUAAUCUAUCUUCCAAUACACUGUUUAAUAUAGCACUGAAUAAAUGAUGCAAGUUGUCAAUGGAUGAGUGAUCAACUAAUAGCUCUGCUAGUAAUUGAUUUAUUUUUCUUCAAUAAAGUUGCAUAAACCAAUGAGUUAGCUGCCUGGAUUAAUCAGUAUGGGAAACAAUCUUUUGUAAAUGCAAAGCUGUUUUUUGUAUAUACUGUUGGGAUUUGCUUCAUUGUUUGACAUCAAAUGAUGAUGUAAAGUUCGAAAGAGUGAAUAUUUUGCCAUGUUCAGUUAAAGUGCACAGUCUGUUACAGGUUGACACAUUGCUUGACCUGAUUUAUGCAGAAUUAAUAAGCUAUUUGGAUAGUGUAGCUUUAAUGUGCUGCACAUGAUACUGGCAGCCCUAGAGUUCAUAGAUGGACUUUUGGGACCCAGCAGUUUUGAAAUGUGUUUAUGGAGUUUAAGAAAUUUAUUUUCCAGGUGCAGCCCCUGUCUAACUGAAAUUUCUCUUCACCUUGUACACUUGACAGCUGAAAAAAAACAACAUGGGAGUAAUAAUGGGUCAAAAUUUGCAAAAUAAAGUACUGUUUUGGUGUGGGAGUUGUCAUGAGGCUGUGUUGAAGUGACUUAUCUAUGUGGGAUAUUGAGUAUCCAUUGAAAUGGAUUUGUUCAGCCAUUUACAUUAAUGAGCAUUUAAAUGCAACAGAUAUCAUUUCAGGUGACUUAACAUGAAUGAAUAAAAGUCAAUGCUAUU